ACUGCAAGGACCUUUGUCUGAAUGUGUAUAAAGGAUCUGUAAAAUGUGUGUAAGACAGAGUUUUUGUACUAAGGUGCAAAGCUCUCCUUUCUUCUGCAGAAUAAAGCAACUCUUCCUUAUCCCUGUCUGGCUGUUAUUGGCUCUCAGCUAGGUGGACCUGAUAUUUCGGUAACAGUUUCUGGCGACUCCGCCAGGACUCUCCUAGCUCGGACAUUGGACUCCGGACGGCUGCGGCGAAUUGGGAACGGCGCCAAUGGGGUGUUUCACCCCUUUUCUCUGCUUCACCGCAGCCCCUGGGGUUUGUGCUCCGAUAAGGUGAGUCCUAAUAGGAUAAGGAGACACUAUCUGGUUCUGGUCUGGUUAACCGGUUAAUGAAUUUCUGUCUUAUACAUUUGGGCGUUAGGUGUGUGGAUGGAACUGAGCCUCUCAUUCAUAAUUCCUCAGAGUGGAAGCCAUCGCGUGCGAUGAAGCUCUGAGGUCGAAUUGGGAUCCUUCUGUCCCGUCCCCUGUAGCGGUCAGUAUUAGUAGAAAUUCCUGUAAUAGGAUCCUAUUAGGCCAUAAUUCCCUCUGUGCUCUGUGUAAUUCUCUGUUAGAGUGUCAGCAGGCAGAUGGGUGGGUCUCUGGUAAAACCCUCUGAGGAUAGCCCUUUAGAUUAUAUGUUAAGUAAAUGGUCUUUACCCGGUGUUUAAAAAGAAAUAGUUACACCUUGUGUAGAAAUUGAUGUGGCUAGUGUUGUGGAAAUUGAAUUGUGGAGAGGAUGUGCAUUUUCCCCAGAACAUGUGCAGUGUAUAUUGUAGCAGAGGUAAAAGAAAUGCAAACCUACCAAUAUAGGUUGUGUUGUCUUUUUCAGAUCACUGGGUGUUUGAAAGCAGGAGUUAGAAGUAAAAGGCAAUCAAAAGUCUGGGAAAGUUAAUUGUGUCCCUUUUUUUUUAAGUAAGAAUCUUUAAGCUGUGGAUAGCUUUGGAUCUGGAAGCAAGCCAGAAAGCAUCCGUAUUAAUGCAAUUUUCUAACUAAUAAAGUAGUAGCCACUGAAACCUGGGCUGCCUAUGAAAUAAAUACAAGGAAAUAUGGGGUAAUUCUGUUUUGCCUAAAAUCUACAAGAGUAUGUGUAUAUAAAGGAAAUAUUUUAAGCAAUGACUGACUGCCCAGAAGGGGUAGACCUCUGUUCUUUUGUCUUUCAGAUCAUCAGAGAAAACGGAUGCCAGCUGAAUAGCAUUCAACGUACCAUGCAUUUACUGGCACAAUAGGAAUUAUUUUUGUGUUCUAUGGCCAAAAUUGUUGUUAAAAUUUGCAUACCAACAGUCUUUGGAAGCAAGGACAUGGAAGGUUAACCCAUUCCCCAUAUUGCCCAUGGGAUCCUUCUGGCUACCUCAGAUUUCUAGCCAGAGGGCUGGGGAGGGAGGAAAGCUAUUGGACACAAGAGGUUGUACCGAGUGGACUCCUCAAAGAUAAAAGAAGUGCUACCCAAAGACCCUAGCAGCCCUGCCAUUCAUUGAAACAAGGAGACUGAGUCUACGUAAAGUCUAUCAAUGAAAGACUACUUUGGCUCCCCACUGGAAAGGCCCUUUCCAAGUCCUGUUAACCACCAACACCGCUGUGAAGUGCCAAGGACUACCUGCCUGGACCCAUGCUUCUCACUUAAAAAGACCCCUCAACCUCGGGAGGACUCUCUGACUGAUAAGCCUAUUUCUCCUUCUAGCUCUGCUGUGCCUUCUGGACAGCAGGAAAAAGGAAAAAAGACAAGGUGAAGUGCUAGUAACCUCUCCCUUGUCCACUGACAGACCUACUGUGCCUUUGGAUUUUUCUAGAAGAAGCAAAACCAUUACAGGGUGAUGUGCUAGUAACCUCUCCCCUGUAUGAUGCUAAACCACACUGUUUCAGGAAAAGAGAAGAAGGAACACUUGCUUCAUUGGAACCACCAAAGUCCAGGGAUUCCUGACUACAAGAGACAUUAAGAACUGACCCUGGUGAAGAAACAAAGAAUUAUACACUGGCAGGAAGAAACUUGUGGGACCCAUGCUUGAGAAUGUGGUAUAGUACUACACCAAAAAGAAAUGUAUUAGGAUAUCAAUGAACUGUGAUUAACACUACACUAGGGACUGUUAAAUUUUCAUUACCCUUAUUCAGUUUCCAGAUCACCUCUACAUACCCAAUUGCUCACAGGGGGCUGCCAUUAGAUUAGCACAACAGAGGGCUUGGGUUAUUUCCUCUAGAAAGAAAAGUGACUUGACCGGAUCCCUAUGGGAUGGGGCCAAUAGUGCAGCAGCAGUUUGGAAUAUUUUUAAGAACCAAAACAUGAUGAGAAAUUGGGGCACAGCUAACCCAGGUACAGGCUGGAAUUGGUGAGUUACAUGUUAUCUCCGCCCUUAGUUCUAUGACCCAGAAGUUGCUGACAGAAAUGGUAUUGAAUAUCACUAAGGCUGGGAAGGCAUUGCAGUGGGAUCUAGCAUGUUCAGAAAUUCAGGAUUUCCUGAGUGACCAGCUAAUGGCCAUUCGGAAUGAUCUAGAGCAUCAGGCUUGGCCCACUGCCCUUACAGACACAUCAGGAGUACCAUCUGAUCUGUGGCCAUGGAGACAUACUUGGAAACUUUCUGGGUGGAAGUACAAACAUUCUCAAUGCUUCUUCCAAGCAUAUGAACCAAUUAGGGGGGGACUUGUGCUCGCAUCGGGGAAAAAUGUUGUUUCUAUGUUAAUUAUUCUGGCUUAAUUGAGCAGGAUUUACAAGCCAUUAAGAAUGUUGCUGUUGUUUUCCGUGCUUUAUCACUUGAUCACACCUUUAGUUUUGAGGACCUCCUUCCAGACCUUGGGUCAUGGUUUACGGGGCUCUUUCAAACAAUUGUUAAAUGGAUUCUUUUCUUUCUAUGUGUUAUUUGGACAAUGAUACAAUGUGCCAAAUGCCUGUGUAAUGCUAUGAUCAAAAGCUCUGCUGUCCAUAAGAAAACCCAGUAUCUGUCCCUCCAGCUUGAUCACAAAUUGCAUAACGGGCCUGACAAUUUUUGAAUUUGUCAGGCCCGAAGGGGGGACUGUGAAAGUUACUAGUGACCCCCCCUUAACAGAGCAGCCUUUAUGUCAACCAGUGGCCAUUAGGGGGAAGCAGACACUUCAAGUACACAGUAGCCUGAACUUUUCAACUGUCUUCCCUUCAAGGCCUAAAGGUAGUUGGAGCUGGUCCCAAGCCGGUUUUCACUGACCAGAUAGCAAAAGCCCGGGUCUGACAACCACCAAUCAAGUGUUAACACUGCAAGGACCUUUGUCUGAAUGUGUAUAAAGGAUCUGUAAAAUGUGUGUAAGACAGAGUUUUUGUACUAAGGUGCAAAGCUCUCCUUUCUUCUGCAGAAUAAAGCAACUCUUCCUUA